GGAGCUCAGCCCAGGCCUUGGCCCCAUGGGCUCCUGGCCUGGGAAGCCUGGGAUUUCCCUGGCUGGGUGAAGCCCCGGGACCCCAGCCGCACGGGGAUGGUGUCUGUCUCUGCCUGGUCCCCAGGCUCCAGUAGAGCGUCUGUGUCCUUGCAGGCCCUGAGGAUGUCAGACGGGAUCAUGAGCAAGGCCGCCACCAUGGAGAUCCCCAUCAGCAGCAACGGGGACACGGGCAGCCUGCCAGAGGAUGACGGCUUGGAGCAGCUGCCUGUGCUCCUCCCUCCGCUCCAGGACCUGCAGCAGGUGAUGGUAUCGGGGCCCAACCUCAAUGAAACCAGCAUCGUCUCUGGCGGCUACGGGGGUACGGCUGAAGGCAUCAUCCCCACCAGCACCAUCAAAGGCUGGUCCUGGGGUUGCGGGUGCUCCUGGUGGCAAGGCCCAGCUGCGAGCGUCCUGCCUGCCAGGCAGCGGUGUGAGCAAGAGUGCCACAGCCCCAGGGCCCUGCUGCUACCCACACCCCCCAGGGAGGUCUGCCCAGGCAUGGGGCAGCGGUGGCCCAGUGGGUCCACGGUGAGCGUUGGUGGUACUGGGCUGGGCCAGGCCAAGUUGGCACUGCCGAGGCAGCUCUGGCGCAGCUGUGUCUCUCGCCCUCUGUCCCUCAUGGUCCUAUUUCACACGAGUCUCUGUCCCCUGACUUGCCCCAGUGGGCUCUGCCGCAGCGGACAGCUGCUCCGUGCUGUGCUAGGCUUGAGUGAGUGGAUUUGCACAGGCAGAGAGGACGUGUGCGUUUGCUCGCAGCCUGCUGUGCCGAAGAGCAGCACAAGCGGGUGGCAGAAGAAGAUGUGUGCUGUGGUUGCUGUUACUCUUUGUCUGUCACGCUGGGCCUGUCCAGCUCUCGGCUCACGGGGCACGGUGACCCCAGUUGAUGGGACAGAAGGAGUGGGGAGGGAGCACCUGGUGCGGGAGGUAUCCGUCUGUCAGCCAGCUGUGUCUUGUGAUUUCACGUCGCACUCAUCUGCUCCCCUUGCUCUCCCCUGCUGCCAUCCCGCCUGCACACUCAUCCUCUGUCCUGGCUGUUCCUGCCCCCGUGCCCGACACACCGCCCCAUCUCUUCUUGCCCCUCUCUGCUCAACACCUGCCAGCCCCUCCAUUUCCAGGCUGUCUUGUCCAACCUCACCCACCCCGAGGACCAUCUGUCUCCCCCAGUGCAUCUGCCGCCAGCAGGAUGGCCAACCAGGCUGGUGCUUCAGCAGGCUCUGGGCUGCACCAGCCCCACCCCAGCCCAGCCGUCGGAGGAGAGGAAGUUGUCCGUGGCAUCGCCGUGGAGAAGUUUGACAUUGUCAAGAAAUGGGGUAUCAACACGUACAAGUGUACCAAGCAGCUGAUCUCGGAGCGGUUUGGCCGGGGCUCCCGCACAGUGGACCUCGAGCUGGAGACACAGAUUGAGCUGCUCCGGGAGACAAAGCGCAAGUACGAGUGUGUGCUGCAGCUCGCACGGGCUCUCACCAACCACUUCUACAGCCUGGUGCAAACACAGCAUGCCCUGGGGGAUGCCUUUGCGGACCUCAGCCAGAAGUCUCCUGAGCUGCAGGAGGAGUUUGGUUACAAUGCAGAAACACAGAAACUACUCUGCAAGAAUGGAGAAACACUACUGGGGGCUGUCAACUUCUUUGUCUCCAGCAUCAACACGCUGGUGAACAAGACCAUGGAGGACACACUCAUGACGGUCAAACAGUACGAGACAGCCAGGCUGGAGUACGAUGCAUACCGCACAGACCUGGAGGAGCUGAGCAUGGGCCCUCGGGAUGCUAGCACCCUGUGCCGGCUGGACGCAGCCCAGAGCCAGUUCCAGAGCCACAAGGACAAGUAUGAAAAGCUGCGUGCUGAUGUGGCCAUCAAGCUCAAGUUCUUGGAGGAGAACAAGAUCAAGGUGAUGCACAAGCAGCUACUGCUCUUCCACAACGCCAUCUCUGCCUACUUCGCUGGGAACCAGCAGCAGUUGGAGCAGACCCUCAAGCAGUUCAACAUCAAGCUGAAGACCCCCGGUGCUGAGAAGCCCUCCUGGCUGGAGGAGCAGUGAGCCGCCCCCUCUGCCCCCCGCGUGCUCUGGCUGGGGGCACUAUGGACCUGAAUUCCAACCUCUGCCCGCUGGCGCGGGGCUGGGCCGCGUGCUCACAGAGUGAGCAGGGGACGCGGCCUGGGCCCUGCUGCAGCUGGGCUUUGCCCACUGGGCAUGAGGGGGCCUGGUUUGGGGGGGGAGUGGGAGGCUUCAAGCGGGGCCCUGGUCCUGCCUGGGGAGAGGAGCCCGGAGAGGCUGGGGCUCCCCCGUCCCGUGUCUCCCCCUUGGGGCAGAGCCCAGCCCUGCCCAGCUCAUCCAUGCUCCCUUAGCAUGGACCCCCGGCACGACAGCCGGGAGCCCUCCCUGCUUCCUGGCACCCUGGGGGGGGCAGCAGACC